UUUGAAGUUAGGAGUACGAGUGUGUGCAACUGUAACGCAAUGUUGGGAGGGGUAUCCAAAACCUUCACACAUUUGAUGGGAGGAUCUUUCCCAUUCAUCUCAACAACAAAAGAAACCAAAAUCAAACGUCCACCAACUAACCUCUCUUUUCCAUUCAAUGGCUGUCGUUGCACCACUUCCCAUUCAUCUCAACAACAAAAGAAACCAAAAUCAAACGUCCACCAACUAACCUCUCUUUUCCAUUCAAUGGCUGUCGUUGCACCACUUCCGCGGCUCAGCUUCCCCUCUCUGAGUCAGCAACUCCCGGUCAGUUCCGAGUCGACAUCCUCUCGGAAUCGCUUCCUUUUAUCCAAAAAUUCCGAGGCAAAACCAUCGUCGUCAAGUACGGUGGCGCCGCCAUGAAAUCACCGGAACUCCAGGCCUCCGUCAUUAACGAUCUUGUCCUUCUCUCCUGCGUCGGCCUCCGUCCUGUCAUGGUUCACGGUGGCGGUCCUGAGAUCAACCACUGGCUCAGCCGUCUCAACAUUCAAGCCGUUUUCCG
rnacentral:lncRNA from 1 species